UAGCAAUGUUGAAACACCGGUUGCCGUACAAUCACCGAAAUGAAGCAACGUCGAGUCUGGUCAGUACCUAGAUGGGUUACCGCUUGGGAAUACAAGCUGUUGUAAG